UGUUCUGUGGCUUAGUUGCUUAAAGCGCUGGUUUAGUCGUGGGUUCGUACCCCACCACAACAC
rnacentral:tRNA from 1 species